GUCAGGAUGGCCGAGCGGUCUAAGGCGCCAGACUCAAGGUUUCCUUGCCUACUGUAGUAGGUUGAGUUGUUCUGGUCCUCUCUGAGGGCGUGGGUUCGAAUCCCACUUCUGACA
rfam:Danaus plexippus plexippus isolate F-2 unplaced genomic scaffold DPSCF300058, whole genome shotgun sequence.